UGGGAGGUAAAUUUCUCCUAAGGCUAAAUAACGGCGAGAGACCGAUAGCGAACAAGUACCGUGAGGGAAAGAUGAAAAGAACUUUGAAAAGAGAGUUAAACAGUACGUGAAAUUGUUGAAAGGGAAACGAUUGAAGCCAGUCGUACCUUCGGGUAAUCAGCCUUUUGGGUGCGAUUCUGUGAGGUGUGAGGAGUUAAACGCCUUCAUGUUUUGCGUAUUCGUGCUCUUGGGUGUACUUGCCCGUGUGGUUGGUUAACGUCAAUUUUGGACGCCAUAAAAUGACUGGAGGAAUGUAGCUUCGAUCUCGUAUUGAAGUGUUAUAGCCUUUGGUAGAUGUGGUUUUCGAGAUUGAGGAUUGCAACGGAUACCCUUCGGGGCUACCUAUCUGAUCUCUGAUCGUUGCUCUGGUGGCGAAAGCUUGCUUACGGAUAUCAAAGUCGAUGGUCAAUAGGUUAGAAUAGGUUAAAUUCGUUAAGGAUGUUGACGUAAUGGCUUUAAACGACCCGUCUUGAAACACGGACCGAGGAGUCUAACAUAUAUGCGAGUGUUAGGGUGAUUAAACCCUUACGCGUAAUGAAAGUAAUUUUGGUGGGAUCACUUUUGUGCACCAUCGACC
rnacentral:rRNA from 1 species